rnacentral:rRNA from 1 species
GAUGAACGCUAGCUACAGGCUUAACACAUGCAAGUCGAGGGGCAGCAUGGUCUUAGCUUGCUGAGACUGAUGGCGACCGGCGAAUGGGUGAGUAACACGUAUCCAACCUGCCUGCAACCGGGGGAUAGCCCUCCGAAAGGAGAAUUAAAACCCCAUGUGUGGCUCUGAGGCAUCUCAGUGCCAUGAAAGGCUUUCGGUUGCGGAUGGGGAUGCGUAUGAUUAGCUGGUUGGCGGGGUAACGGCCCACCAAGGCGACGAUCAUUAGGGGUUCUGAGAGGAAGGUCCCCCACACUGGUACUGAGACACGGACCAGACUCCUACGGGAGGCAGCAGUGAGGAAUAUUGGUCAAUGGUCGGGAGACUGAACCAGCCAAGUAGCGUGAAGGAUGACGGCCCUACGGGUUGUAAACUUCUUUUCCGCGGGAUUAAAGUGCGCCACGUGUGGUGUUUUGCAGGUACCGCGGGAAUAAGCACCGGCUAAUUCCGUGCCAGCAGCCGCGGUAAUACGGAAGGUGCGAGCGUUAUCCGGAUUUAUUGGGUUUAAAGGGAGCGUAGGCGGGAUGCCAAGUCAGCUGUGAAAAGCCGCGGCUCAACCGUGGUCCUGCAGUUGAAACUGGCGUUCUUGAGUGCACUAGAGGGCGGUGGAAUUUGUGGUGUAGCGGUGAAAUGCUUAGAUAUCACGAGGAACUCCGAUUGCGAAGGCAGCCGCCUGGAAUGCAACUGACGCUGAGGCUCGAAGGUGCGGGUAUCAAACAGGAUUAGAUACCCUGGUAGUCCGCACUGUAAACGAUGGAUACUCGUGGUCGGCGACACACGGUCGGUCACCAAGCGAAAGCGUUAAGUAUCCCACCUGGGGAGUACGCCGGCAACGGUGAAACUCAAAGGAAUUGACGGGGGCCCGCACAAGCGGAGGAACAUGUGGUUUAAUUCGAUGAUACGCGAGGAACCUUACCCGGGCUUGAACUGCAGGAGAACGAUCCAGAGAUGGUGAGGUCCUUCGGGACUCCUGUGGAGGUGCUGCAUGGUUGUCGUCAGCUCGUGCCGUGAGGUGUCGGCUUAAGUGCCAUAACGAGCGCAACCCCUUUCCUUAGUUGCCAUCAGGUAGAGCUGGGCACUCUGGGGAUACUGCCACCGUAAGGUGUGAGGAAGGUGGGGAUGACGUCAAAUCAGCACGGCCCUUACGUCCGGGGCUACACACGUGUUACAAUGGGGAGUACAGAGAGUCAGGCGCCGGCAACGUCGCCUUAAUCAGGAAAGCUCUCCUCAGUUCGGAUUGGGGUCUGCAACCCGACCCCAUGAAGCUGGAUUCGCUAGUAAUCGCGCAUCAGCCAUGGCGCGGUGAAUACGUUCCCGGGCCUUGUACACACCGCCCGUCAAGCCAUGAAAGCCGGGGGCGCCUGAAGUCCGUGACCGCGAGGGUCGGCCUAGGGUGAAACCGGUGAUUGGGGCUA